GCCAUCUGAUAGCAAUGAAGCCAAAAGAAAGAGAUGGUUGGAACCGUGCUGGUAAAAAGUUGCUUCAACUCAAGCAGAGGAGAGAAAGUUGCCCAAGCCACUGCUACUGGGCAUGAUGUGACAAGCACGGUGGUUGCAAGGCUGUGGUGUACAUAGAAGAGUGAUUUUAUUCAAACAAGAAGUUGUUGCCAGAGAUCUCAAAAACUUCAGGAGUGUGGUCUUCAUUUUUAAAGCUUUACACAUGGGAUCUAACCAGCUUGGAAGGGGACUGUUCCAUACUCCAUAAUCAGAGCUGAUCAGCAGAAGAAAGGCAGAGAUUCAGCAGCACCUGAGAAUCGAGUCAAGGCUGGCAUUUUCAGACAAACUCAAGAAAGGAAUAUGGAUACAAUGCUACAGCUUAGUUAAUUGCCCAUAGCAAGGGGCUGUGACUGAAGGACCUGAGACCAUGAACAUAACCCUAGCCUUGCUACUCUAUGGCCAGAAUAAUUCUGGGGGCUGGUCUGCAACUGUGGCUUUCUCAAAGCUGUCUUAAGAACCGCAUCUAUUCCCUACAGACAUCCCAUAAUGUGAUGAUUCCCUAUGGUGCUUCAUGACCUUGUUGAUUCUUAAACUGGCCCUUAGCAUUUGGCCUUAGAUAUUUCUGAGCUUUUCACAGUUAGUAACUGCUCAGAGAAAAAAUAAAGUUGUAAUUAUUCUUAGCUCUCAACCAUAAAUGCAGUAUUAUACCCUCCCUAAGAAUGACAUGGACUAAAAAUUGAGCUUGAAAUUUUUUCUGUAGCAAAAUUGUGGAAAACCAACAAAAAUAAUAAAAUAAAGCGCACAGCUACACACAUGAGCAGUUAAAACCAUGUGAGACUUACAUAUUCAGAACUGUAAAUGCUUUUAAAACAUACUAAAACAUAAGUGAGUUAAAUUUAUCACCUCCCAUUUUAAUUUAAAAGAUGUAGGAGAACAUGUAUCUAAGGAUUUUCUAAAAGAAGUAGUGACUUGAGCAUGUUGGGGGUGGUGGUGCAAUUGCUUGUAGUUUUAUUCAUUUAGGCAUAUCUUAUCACUCCUCCUUUUCUUCCUUCUUGGAGGGCAAUGAGAGAACCCAGAUGCCAAGCUGUGGAACAUGUUCUUCUGACACUAGCAUCUGGCUCCUUGGCAGAAUCCUCCAACUGUCAUGCUGACAGCUUUCCUGUUGUGUCCUCGUGUAUUUUUACAUAAGAAAAUUGCAGAUGGGUUCUCUUCUCGAACUAAUACGCUAUUCUGUUGACCCUUAUCAUGCAGAAAUGUGUUGGUUUUAUCUGUUUGUGAAUGAGACCUUGGCCAAAUAUACUUCAAAAAGGAUACUUCUCUGUUCGUCUCUGAAUUUGUCUGCAAGCUGUCUGGGAAGAUGCCAGAAUCCUAUUACACACCCUUUUUGUGCCUUUAAGCAGUGAGUCCUUCAUUCUCUCUGCUGCACAAAUAGAUUGCACUUUUUGCAGCAAGCACACUUGAAAAAUACAAACAUAUUUAUUUAAUAGUUUCAGUGAAAAAAAAAAAGAAAAAAAUCCUCCCUUGAAAUGGGGAGAAAUGCGGUUUGAUUUGCUAUGGAUUUUUUUACUGGAGGUUUUUGUUUGUUUAUUUUUUAUUUGACAUUACCUAGUAUGCUGCUGCCUUGAAGGAUUUUUUUUCCCCCAGAAUUUUGCCAGAGACCUCUAAUCCAGAAGGCUUUCUAAUGUUACAAAAGUAGCACAGUAACUUCAUUAAAAAAAUAAAAAAAUAAAACAAAGAUUUCACUUAUUAACGUCCUCCAAAACCUCUUGGUAUUUUCUAAAUGGAGUUUUCAUAGUCCCGCAUCACAUUUAGACACAUGCCUAAUUUAUGUGGAUCAUCAUGAGUAGUCCCAGUGACUUUACAGUGAAGCACAAUUGUGUUUCAAUUUAAGGUUGUGCUCAGAAGGAGCCUGAUAGGUUCUUGACUUUAGGCUUGACAAAGCCCAUAUCAUCCAGAUGACAAUAGAAAAUACUAAAAGUUCCUAUGUUACUUCCUGUUGCUCUUCUUCCUCAUAUAGUCCUCUUCCUACUGAUGUUAUGUGUUUGUCUCUUACAAAAAAAAAAAAAAAGACACACCACCUCUCUCCUCUGCAAAUCUCAGAUCUCCUUUAAAUACAUAACUUUGCUAGAGUGAAUGAGAUCAAACAAAGAUAAGAAAAUUUGGCAAAUACACAAAUUAAGAAUUAUCUGGGGCCCCACUCAGUGGAGACUCCAUUUCCAUGAAAGUUGUCCAUGGGGGCUCUUCAGGGCUCUUAAAUGUUGGCACCCAUUGAGAAUAUUUAGCUAUGAUUUGUGAGCCCACUCAGACUCUGACCUUCCAGCCAUCUCCAUCCUCUCCUCAGCUCAAAGAGUAGAAACCCAGAACUGCAGGAUUCCCUGAUGGCAAUAUGGAAGAUUGCCAGCCCUGAUGAAGCCAGGUGGAUUUCACAGAGCAUGCUCUCUGUGUCCACACCAGGGGAACAUCCUCAGAUGUAAGCUUAAUGCUGUAAGCUUCUCCUAAUUUAUUCUCCUAGCAACAGAUAUUAAGAUUUGAUUGAGACUGGUUUCUUGUUUGGUGCUUUUGCAAUAAAUAAAGCCACAAUGAGUAAUUUUAUUGUUCUCCCACCUUGGUUGUUCAGUUUGUGCGGCUAUUCCAAGAAAACAAAAAUCAAGUCAGCAUUAA